UGCUUUAUGAAGUAUUAAUAUAAAGUAAUUUCCUGCCCAGUGACUCAAUAGUUCAACGGCCGCGGUAUCCUAACCGUGCAAAGGUAGCAUAAUCAUUUGCCCAUUAAUUGUGGGCUAGAAUGAAAGGACCAACGAAAUAUAAACUGUCUCUAUAAGCUCAAUAAAAAUUAAUAUCUAACUGAAGAAUGUUAGAUACUGUUGAAGGACAAGAAGACCCUAUAGAGCUUAAUUUUAAUAAAAACUUAAAUUUUACUAAAAUUCGGUUGGGGCGACCUGGGAAGUUAAUAAUCAUCCCAAAUACAAAGAUUUAUUAAUCAACUAUAUGACCCUUUUAAGAUCUAAAAAACAAGCUACCUUAGGGAUAACAGGCUAAUCUAGCUAAAGAGUCCUUAUCAAUAGCUAGGUUUGGCACCUCGAUGUUGGCUUAGGGGAUCAAUACGACGCAAAAGUCGUAAUAAGAUGGUUUGUUCAACCAAUAACACCCUACAUGAGCUGAGUUCAGACCGGCGUAAGCCAGGUUAGUUUCUAUCCUCAAUAAAUAAAUCUAUCUACAGUACGAAAGGACCCAGAUAAGAGUAAUAAUUAUCUUAAUAGAAUUAAUAUAAUAACUUAUAAAUAAAAAACAUCAUACACUAUG
rnacentral:rRNA from 1 species